GCAGUAGAAUCACCUGGAGGGCCUGUGAAAUGGAACGUCCAGGCCCCGCCCUUGGGGAUUUCUGAUUGGUGGGUCUGGGCCCAAUAAGCUUGUGUUUCCAAGUUCCCAGGUGAUGCCAAUGCUGCGCCACCAAGUCUCAGGCUGGAAACCACUGCUUUAGGUCCACAGUCUCCUCCCUAGAAGCCUCAGGAAACAAUAAAUUCAAAAUAAAUUAGCCUUCAAAUCAGAUGGAAAGAUACAUUCAUCCUUUAAGUCCUUUUGUGAGGAGAUGAAUUACAAAUGGAAACUUCAGGGCAGAGGAUGUGUGUUUCAUCACUUUUGUAGCUUAUCAGUGUCACGACAACCUCAUGGAGGAGGCAGUAGGGGGAUGCUGCUGCAGAUGGUGCGUGAGAGACGAAGAAGUUACUUCAUUCAGAGGCAUCCACUCAACUAGUAAGAGACUUCAGACUUGCACACUGAUCAGUAUCAUUCAAGAUAAGGUCCUGUGCUGAGAUUCUUGGGGAUAGGAUUUCAACAUGUGAAUUUGGAGGGACAUAGUUCAAGCUAUUCCAGGACCUCUGUGGUGACACAGGCCCAUCCAGAUAAUCCAGAAUAGUCUCUCCAUUACUUAAGUAAGCAGAUUCUUACUCCAUCAUAUCUGCAAGGUGACAGGGUGUGUGAAAACAUUUGUCUUUAAAAGGAUCCAUGCACAUUGGAGUUUGAUUCGGACCAGUGUGGAAGUUUAGCUCUCAUGGUGUUGGGAUUCACAGCUGGAAUGUUCCCACAGCCCUGCCCCUGCAUUUAGGAUCCAGUGAAGCAACCCCAAGACAGACCUCCUGCAAUUCAGCUCUAGUCGGCCUACAGGUCCUCUUGGUGUCAGUCACCUGCCCUCCUCUACCUCUGCCCACUCAGCUGCCAGGUGAUGCCAUUGCACAUGAAGGAGGUGACAGACACAGAGAUUGGGACUCUGGGCUGAGCAGACAUGUGGUGACUUGUUCAAGGGAGAAAGCAGGCAAGAAUACUGGAAUGGGUAGCCGUUCGCUUCUCCAGGGGAUCUUCCCAACCUAGGAAUUGAACCAGGAUCUUCUGCAUUGUAGGCAGAUUCUUUACCAGCUGAACUACCAGGGAAGCCAAAGAGUGCUCUUAGAACUUAAUAUGUUUAAAAGGUGGAUUCUUUAUUGUCUGGAGAGAUGAAAAUGUGCUAAAAUUGGUUUGUGGUAAUGAUUGCCUGAAGUCUGUGACUAUGAAUCUGAAUCUGUAAAAGCAAUUCAAUUGUGCACUUGAAAUGAUUCUGCUGCUGCUGCUAACUCACUUCAGUCGUGUCCAACUCUGUGCGACCCCAUAGG